AUUGAACGCUGGCGGCAUGCCUUACACAUGCAAGUCGAACGGUAACAGGUCUUCGGAUGCUGACGAGUGGCGAACGGGUGAGUAAUACAUCGGAACGUGCCCGAUCGUGGGGGAUAACGAAGCGAAAGCUUUGCUAAUACCGCAUAAGAUCUACGGAUGAAAGCAGGGGACCGCAAGGCCUUGCGCGGACGGAGCGGCCGAUGGCAGAUUAGGUAGUUGGUGGGAUAAAAGCUUACCAAGCCGACGAUCUGUAGCUGGUCUGAGAGGACGACCAGCCACACUGGGACUGAGACACGGCCCAGACUCCUACGGGAGGCAGCAGUGGGGAAUUUUGGACAAUGGGCGAAAGCCUGAUCCAGCCAUGCCGCGUGCAGGAUGAAGGCCUUCGGGUUGUAAACUGCUUUUGUACGGAACGAAAAGACUCCUUCUAAUAAAGGGGGUCCAUGACGGUACCGUAAGAAUAAGCACCGGCUAACUACGUGCCAGCCGCCGCGGUAAGAC
rnacentral:rRNA from 1 species